rnacentral:rRNA from 1 species
CCUACGAGUGGCAGCAGUGGGGGAUAUUGCACAAUGGGGGAAACCCUGAUGCAGCAACGCCGCGGGAGUGAAGAAGUAUUUCGGUAUGUAAAGCUCUAUCAGCAGGGAAGAGAAUGACGGUACCUGACUAAGAAGCCCCGGCUAACUACGUGCCAGCAGCCGCGGUAAUACGUAGGGGGCGAGCGUUACCCGGAUUUACUGGGGGUAAGGGGAGCGUAGACGGCUGGUCAAGUCUGAAGUGGAAGCCCGGGGCUUAACCCCGGAACGGCUUUGGAAACUGAGCAGCUAGAUUGCUGGAGAGGUAAGCGGAAUUCCUAGUGUAGCGGUGAAAUGCGUAGAUAUUAGGAGGAACACCAGUGGCGAAGGCGGCUUACUGGACAGUAACUGACGUUGAGGCUCGAAAGCGUGGGGAGCAAACAGGAUUAGAUACCCCUGUAGUC